rnacentral:rRNA from 1 species
AUUGAACGCUGGCGGCAGGCCUAACACAUGCAAGUCGAACGAGUGGCGGACGGUUGAGUAAUGUCUGGGAAACUGCCCGAUGGAGGGGGAUAACUACUGGAAACGGUAGCUAAUACCGCAUACCAUCGGAUGUGCCCAGAUGGGAUUAGCUUGUAGGUUAGGUAACGGCUCACCUAGGCGACGAUCCCUAGCUGGUCUGAGAGGAUGACCAGACAAACUUGGACUGCUAGAAGGUCAAGACUCCUCAGGGAGGCAGCAGUGGGGAAUAUUGCACAAUGGGCGCAAGCCUGAUGCAGCCAUGCCGCGUGUAUGAAGAAGGCCUUCGGGUUUUAAAGUAGUUUCAGCGGGGAGGCGUUACCCGCAGAAGAAGCACCGGCUAACUCCGUGCCAGCAGCCGCGGUAAUUC